rnacentral:rRNA from 1 species
UCAGAUUGAACGCUGGCGGUAUGCUUAACACAUGCAAGUCGAACGGUAACAUUGGAGCUUGCUCCAGAUGACGAGUGGCGGACGGGUGAGUAAUGCAUAGGAAUCUGCCUAGUAGUGGGGGACAACAUGUGGAAACGCAUGCUAAUACCGCAUACGCCCUACGGGGGAAAGGGGGGGAUCUUCGGACCUCUCGCUAUUAGAUGAGCCUAUGUUAGAUUAGCUAGUUGGUGAGGUAAUGGCUCACCAAGGCGACGAUCUAUAGCUGGUCUGAGAGGAUGAUCAGCCACACUGGGACUGAGACACGGCCCAGACUCCUACGGGAGGCAGCAGUGGGGAAUAUUGGACAAUGGGCGAAAGCCUGAUCCAGCAAUACCGCGUGUGUGAAGAAGGCCCGAGGGUUGUAAAGCACUUUCAAUUGGGAGGAAUACCUGCUGAGAUAAUAUCAGGCAGAUUGACAUUACCCUUAGAAGAAGCACCGGCUAACUCCGUGCCAGCAGCCGC